UCGCAAGCCCACUAUUUUUGAUUUAUAGUAUGUGUAAGGCCGCCAGGGGUGCUGUGUUCAGCGUCUUCUUGGUGGCCGAUCUCGGUUAAUGUUCUUUCUUCGCAAUUGUUCAACAAGGUAGAGCAGACGCUAUUAUAAGUUGUGUCAGAGUCUGAAUAAAAGCUAGAGAAUCAGCAACAAUUUACCUGAGUCAAGUGUCUUCAAAUCAGUAAUUACUUAUCAGGAGGGAAGUGCAUAUCGUACAAGGAAACAGGAAGCUGUGGCCACUUCCGUUGGCGCAAGCUACGCUGCACCGUGUGGAUGGAUUGCAACAGCUUUUGACGAUGACCUUCUUCAAGUACAAAUCUUGAAGUAAUACGAAAUGAUCGAAGAUAUAGCGAAUGAAAUUGUGUCAAAACUAAACUUCGAGUGAAAAACCAAAUAGAUUGCUUUUAAAAACCCA